UCAGCCUACCGCACAUCAUUCGCAAUAUGGCGGAGACUGUUUGUAAACAUCACACAAAACAUGCUAGCAGAAAAAAACUGCGAGCGAAACAGUCUUAAAAGUAGUUCGAUUAUUAUCAUUCGUGCUUCAGUUUCGAGAGCGUGUAACAAAUAUAGUAGGCAAAAAGGCAAGCUCCACCGGGACGUCGCUUCCAAGCUGGAAUUUCCGGUUCUUGCCCCGUCGUGUACUGUUCAAACUUCCAUGGCCCACCGCCACCAUGUUCCGCCACGGUUGGAGAUGGCCACUAUCGCUUCUUCAGAUGCCGGCAACUAAAGUAACCCAAAUCCAAGCCCAAACCCCUAUGGAAUCGACGUGCUGCCGAAUCUUUCAGUGUCCAGAAUAUGGCAAACCGACCAGCAACAGCUAGGCCCGGAAGAAGAACAAAAUUUGUAUAUCAAAAUAAAUGUUGCCCUGUUCUUUCUCCGCUUAGACGUGGGCCGCG